UUGGGAAUAAAAAUAGAAUAGACAAAUAGUAUACUUUAUAAGUGAUCAACUAGCCCCUUCCGCCUUUCCUGCUUGCCCUUGUUAAUGCCUUGCGACUUGCCUUGAAAAAGCUUAACAUGGAAAAAAAGCCCUAUCCUUUUACCCUGGAAAAAUACUCAAUCAAUGGUGUUACUAUUUCGUAGGUAUAGCCACUGGAAAGGGCACUGGGAUAAAGGGGAAAUAUGAUAUUGAGGGCUUCCUAGUUGUCUAUUGCUCCUGGAAUCUCACUAUUGGCUUGCCUGGACCCUCUUGGUUUGCUUGGAGAAGCACUAGAACUACAUGGGGUUACCAUAUGCCCUUUUUUCUUUUCAUGACUCGGAGCUAACAUAACACUUUAACUAGAUGGCACUCCAACUGACACUGCAACUCAAAGCUACGGGAGGGCAGAACCAAUGUAACUGGCUUAGGGGGCACUCGAACUCGAGAGAAGCUAAACGCUCGGCUGGAUCAUAUUGUCUCGUAUGGACUGCUCCUAUUGAGACUGCUACAAGAGAGAAUGGAACUACAUGUAAAGAAACUCCCACUGGCUCGUAAGCAUCGGGGACUGCGGGGAAUUAAACUACUGCUACAAGGAAUACUGGGCCUUAGUCCUUCUCUUCUUUUAAACCUAUUCACUCGUAUCCCUAUCCAAAACGACAUGGAAGCACUUAGAACUGGAAUAUAAGUAUGAGUAUGCUAUGGGGCUAUUGACUAAGGGAUCUUAGAUAGGCUAUUGAUUAUCCCGCUUUCAAACUGGUUGUCCUAAAGGACAGGAGGAACUCUUUAACAUAUUAAUUAGUCUGGGGUGUACACUGAAAUGCCUUAGCCAAAGUAAACCACUCCUUAUGUAUACGAACAUUGGCUUGCAACUGCCAUUCUUUCUCGAUCGAAGGCAGAAGCAAUUGAAAAGAGAGAAGCAAAUGAUGAACUGGCUGGAAAAGAGCUCCCAGAGUAGAACUCGAAAUGAAAGUGGGCCUUUAACUGGCACUCCCGCUGUAAUUGGCUGGCCAGGAAAGUUCACUCGCUUAUUUACUUACGUUCUUAUUGAAGAAAGGAAAUUAAGAAAUAGCUACUAUUGAUACUGUAGUGGGACUGAGACUUAAAACAAAUAUACCUAUUAAGAGGUGGAACUGCUAGGCCUAGUACUUCCUAUUGCUGGUAUUCCAGGUGAACUUAUUCAAUACUCUAUGGUAGAAAUAGGAGAAACAUAUUCUAUUACUUAAUAAAGGGGAGAAACAAUUAGCUAUGAACUCAUCUCCUACACUGGGUCUAUGGGAACUAGGACUGAAAUUAUAUGGAUGGCUUUCGAGCCUGGAAAAUAACUGGCUUUUUCACAAGAUUGGUGAAACUGCUUUUAUCACUGGCUUUCCUCUUCUACUGAUUUAUAUUUCCUCCCGCUUUCUUCUUUUACGGAUAUUUCCCUUAGCUUUUUACCUAACCAGCCUUCAUCGAUACGAUACCCUGGCUUGCUUCUUUGCCUGCCUUGACUGUCGAAAUUAGCUUCCCUUAUUGAGAGCUCCCCAGCAAUAGAAUAUGACGAUACUCAUGCUCUGCUUGAACACUUGCCUGAUGGCUUUCAAAAUAGUUAUGGAUUGAAAAAGGGUAAAGAAACUGAAACUCAAAAGCAAACAAAGGAUUAGCAAUGGCUGGAAUAGAACUCCCAGAGAGAAGGCCAAAAACUGGCGCUUGGCUGGAAGGAAUUAGAUUAUGACUGGCCUCACCCUAUUUAUUUAUUUAUUGGCUCAUCUGGAUCGGUAACCUCGGGAAACCCGGGAGAACUCUUAUUGGGAGAACUUCAAGUGUUUAACUCCAAGCCCGACAUAUAAAAGCUAUAUUCAAGCCCCAGCCCUGUUUACUCCUGCUCAUUUAAAAUAUUCCUUACUGCUUGCCUUGAGAGAAACUCCUGCUGAAAAGGGAAUGCUUUCAUUUACUUAUGAUCUUGCUGGAUUAAAAAAGACUCCAACAGGAACUGAAAUUGAUAUAUAUAUAUAUAUAUAUAUAUGCAUUAAACUGCAUCAAAAUUAGCGAUAGAGACAUUGAUUGAAACAAUUAAAUGUGCUAAGUUGCACGUGCUGAACUUUGCCAAUGAACCACGUUCUACGUUUUACCACCCACCACGAAAACGAAAAAAAUUUGGGCCUGGGCCUCAUGGGCCUCACUUGGAGCCAUGGCCCAUUCCAAGUAGAGCGGGUUGAGUCGUUCGUAGUUCGAAGUUCGAACUCGGUUUUUUAACAUAUACCCUAAAAUUUGUGUCCGCGCCCACCUCUUCUCCUCCCUGGCUCCUCCCGGAGUACAUCAAAACCCUAGCUUCGAUCCUGAUUGUUGAGAUUCCUCUAGGGUUUGGAACCCGAAAUUGGUGAUGGAAGAGGACGAAGGAGAGACCGUUUCUGUUUCGGAGGUCGCCCCAGCUUUGAUCGCCGUACAUCCUCUCGAGAAUUCCGUUGCUGUCGCCGUGGGAUCCGGGGUAAGGCGGAUUGAACUACUGAAUAAGAGAAGCAUUGGGAUUUCCUUGAUUAUAGGGUACUAUCUCAUUGCGGAAGCAGAAGGGAAUCCUUCGAAAGGCAAACCAACGAGGAAGCAUGAAAGGAUCAGAGAAAGAUGUCUUCCUCGGGAAGAAAGCGCGAGCUCUUCAAUCAGUGAGCAUACCUCAUGGGAAUGCAGGUCUUGUUGCAGCACGGGCGUAAAAAGACAUCAUUGAUAACAACUCACUCUCGUUAAGCUCUUACGGUUCAAGGAAGGGAGACCGUCAAGGACAAGGCCAGUGACAAGUCAGGGGCAGGAAAUUCUACUAUAAUACGAGAUCUGUCAAGAAAAAACGGCAACAUAAAUAGUUCAGUCUGUGCCAUCUUAAAGUACAAUGCCAAUAGAGUCAACGAAUCGGAUUGAAAUCAGUGUGAAGAAGAGGGACUAAUCAAGCACAGCAAAAUAGUAGUCAUGUCCACAAGGAAAGGAAUUAUUUUCACCCCCUAUCUAUAUUAUGGGUCUGUACUACUCUAGGAGGUACUAUUGGCAGAGGGGAAGCGCCACUUAGAGACUUUGAAUCUGAAGGAGGGCAGUCGGCCCUAAAGGUAAGAAGGUCUUUGUUUAAGUUCUAAAGUAAUGAUUCAAUCCCACACCUAUUGGAAUCCUCGUGUUGGACACGACGAACCACGCGGAAUAAAGGAAAGCGGGAACUGAACUGAGAACGUUUCGCUGUGAGUCUCCGAACAGCCCGACCCACAUCGCUUCUCUAGAUUAGUGUACUUCCUAAGGUUGGGCAUUUGGCUGAGCCUCUCUCCCUCACCAAUGUGAAUGAAAGGGCACCACAUACAUCUCGACUAGUUUAGUUCGUGCCUGCGGAGCGAACUAAAACCUAUUUUGAAUUCCGGACUCCGAAGUUAGGAUAUUUGGUUGCUUGCUUUGUACUCGACCCAUGUGGUUCGGCUUGUUGCGCCACCUCACUUAACCAAACAUAUCCGAGAAUCAGUUCUACCUGAUCUACACAGCACUUGCUGCUUCAUCCCCGGUUGCAUCUUACUCUGCUGGUCCACCUUCUAAACUGGUCUCCGCACCUGAGACACAUCCGUCUCCUGUUGCUUAUUCUUUUUCCUAUAUUGUGGUGGCUUAUUCGGCGAGUUGGAGCUCCUACUGUUCCCGCGCCAGCUUCAACUCUUGCUCCCGAUUCGGCUCGUGCAACCAGGUGCGGGGCGGCGAUCACUUCGAGAGCUGCACAAGGUAUAUUUUGCACUCUUUAUUUAAGAAUAUUGCCCCCCUAUGUAUGUAUGGCGGUGGAAUUACGAUAGGUAGAGUGCCUCUAUACGGGAAGGUAACCCGUAGAGUGCUGCUUUCUUUGUGGUAAAGCCACAUGAUUGUGAUUAUUAAAGAGUUAGGAUUGAACCUACGACCUCCAGUCUCCCUAAGUGGAGUAAAGCUCCCUUCGGCCUCGAAGAUCAUCUGGUUCCAACUCGAAUUUCUAUGUUAAUAGGUUUUGUACUUCUGCAUGUUGGGAAUAAAAAUAGAAUAGACAAAUAGUAUACUUUAUAAGUGAUCAACUAGCCCCUUCCGCCUUUCCUGCUUGCCCUUGUUAAUGCCUUGCGACUUGCCUUGAAAAAGCUUAACAUGGAAAAAAAGCCCUAUCCUUUUACCCUGGAAAAAUACUCAAUCAAUGGUGUUACUAUUUCGUAGGUAUAGCCACUGGAAAGGGCACUGGGAUAAAGGGGAAAUAUGAUAUUGAGGGCUUCCUAGUUGUCUAUUGCUCCUGGAAUCUCACUAUUGGCUUGCCUGGACCCUCUUGGUUUGCUUGGAGAAGCACUAGAACUACAUGGGGUUACCAUAUGCCCUUUUUUCUUUUCAUGACUCGGAGCUAACAUAACACUUUAACUAGAUGGCACUCCAACUGACACUGCAACUCAAAGCUACGGGAGGGCAGAACCAAUGUAACUGGCUUAGGGGGCACUCGAACUCGAGAGAAGCUAAACGCUCGGCUGGAUCAUAUUGUCUCGUAUGGACUGCUCCUAUUGAGACUGCUACAAGAGAGAAUGGAACUACAUGUAAAGAAACUCCCACUGGCUCGUAAGCAUCGGGGACUGCGGGGAAUUAAACUACUGCUACAAGGAAUACUGGGCCUUAGUCCUUCUCUUCUUUUAAACCUAUUCACUCGUAUCCCUAUCCAAAACGACAUGGAAGCACUUAGAACUGGAAUAUAAGUAUGAGUAUGCUAUGGGGCUAUUGACUAAGGGAUCUUAGAUAGGCUAUUGAUUAUCCCGCUUUCAAACUGGUUGUCCUAAAGGACAGGAGGAACUCUUUAACAUAUUAAUUAGUCUGGGGUGUACACUGAAAUGCCUUAGCCAAAGUAAACCACUCCUUAUGUAUACGAACAUUGGCUUGCAACUGCCAUUCUUUCUCGAUCGAAGGCAGAAGCAAUUGAAAAGAGAGAAGCAAAUGAUGAACUGGCUGGAAAAGAGCUCCCAGAGUAGAACUCGAAAUGAAAGUGGGCCUUUAACUGGCACUCCCGCUGUAAUUGGCUGGCCAGGAAAGUUCACUCGCUUAUUUACUUACGUUCUUAUUGAAGAAAGGAAAUUAAGAAAUAGCUACUAUUGAUACUGUAGUGGGACUGAGACUUAAAACAAAUAUACCUAUUAAGAGGUGGAACUGCUAGGCCUAGUACUUCCUAUUGCUGGUAUUCCAGGUGAACUUAUUCAAUACUCUAUGGUAGAAAUAGGAGAAACAUAUUCUAUUACUUAAUAAAGGGGAGAAACAAUUAGCUAUGAACUCAUCUCCUACACUGGGUCUAUGGGAACUAGGACUGAAAUUAUAUGGAUGGCUUUCGAGCCUGGAAAAUAACUGGCUUUUUCACAAGAUUGGUGAAACUGCUUUUAUCACUGGCUUUCCUCUUCUACUGAUUUAUAUUUCCUCCCGCUUUCUUCUUUUACGGAUAUUUCCCUUAGCUUUUUACCUAACCAGCCUUCAUCGAUACGAUACCCUGGCUUGCUUCUUUGCCUGCCUUGACUGUCGAAAUUAGCUUCCCUUAUUGAGAGCUCCCCAGCAAUAGAAUAUGACGAUACUCAUGCUCUGCUUGAACACUUGCCUGAUGGCUUUCAAAAUAGUUAUGGAUUGAAAAAGGGUAAAGAAACUGAAACUCAAAAGCAAACAAAGGAUUAGCAAUGGCUGGAAUAGAACUCCCAGAGAGAAGGCCAAAAACUGGCGCUUGGCUGGAAGGAAUUAGAUUAUGACUGGCCUCACCCUAUUUAUUUAUUUAUUGGCUCAUCUGGAUCGGUAACCUCGGGAAACCCGGGAGAACUCUUAUUGGGAGAACUUCAAGUGUUUAACUCCAAGCCCGACAUAUAAAAGCUAUAUUCAAGCCCCAGCCCUGUUUACUCCUGCUCAUUUAAAAUAUUCCUUACUGCUUGCCUUGAGAGAAACUCCUGCUGAAAAGGGAAUGCUUUCAUUUACUUAUGAUCUUGCUGGAUUAAAAAAGACUCCAACAGGAACUGAAAUUGGAUAGCUGGGAAUGGAAUAAUUAAUUAUGUAAAAAUACAUCUCUCACUUGCUUGUGUACUGGCACUCUCUGGAAAGGCUAUAAACUGACCCUGGGUCGGACUGGGACUUUCUCGCAGGAAAGGCAGAAUGAAACCAUUACGAAGGGAAAGAAAGAGAUACUUCUGUUGGCUUACUGGCUGGAAUGGUAAAGGACUAGUACUAGAAAUCGAUUACCCAGGCUGUAAAGGGCACUGACUCCCCAUAGCUUUCAGGAAAUUAAGGAACAGAGUGACGACCUUUAUAAUAUUAUUUAUAAAUAAAAAGAAUAAGGUAAGCAAAGAGAGGAAAUUCAAGUUCAAGAGACGGAUAGACUUACUCACUGGAAGGAUUGCCUAUACCCUUGCUUCACUAGAUAGGUGCUUUCCACUUACAGAAGAGGUGGAACAAGAUCAGGAUUUUUAAGAACUCCCACAGGAACUGGCUCUAAAGGAGAAGGAAUGGCACUAGGGGGAAGGGCUCGCAAAGCCUUAAGACUGAAAUUCAACCCCCCGAGAAGGCAGAACCAAGGAAACGGCCUGCAGGGGAAUCAGGACAGGUAAGGGAAGAAAGCAAGGCAAGGGAAAUCCCAACGGCUGGAAAGCAACUCGAUUAAAGGACAGGGACUACUGAUACAAUCCCAAAAGGAGGAGAUGCCCUUAGGAAUCCAACUCUCACUCCAACAGAUAAUUCAUCUUACUUAAAGGUUUCUUGCCUGCCCACAUCGAAAGAAAGUCCAACUGAGACUAUAUCUCAAACCCCUCCAAUGGUAACAGACUCGGGGACUACUAUUGCAAUAACAGGGACUGCUGGAAAGGAAAUAGGAUAUGCUGCAACACUGGGCUUGUUCAGGUAAUAUGCUAGUAAAAGAAUAGUGCAGAUAAUAGGUGUACAAGGCUAAUAUGCUAAUUAUUAACGAGUUGUUAUGUUAUACUAAAAUAAUCAAACUGAAAAGAGUUAUUAUGCUCACAUCACAGGGCCGGGCUCAGAGAACUCUGAAGUAGGCUCGAGAGCAAGAAAAGCAACUCCAACAGUAAAAGGUACUCCAAUUGACACUGAAACUGGGCAAACUCCCAAGAAGGGAGAAGGGCUAAUUCUAAGGCUGUCUCAUACUCUAUGUAACUAGGACUGGCACUAUGAACUCCUGCUUUAUAAUGACUUACUUGAUUACUUAGCCUAAGAGAGAGUUAAAAGUAAAGAAACUUAAACUGGAACUCACUCAAAACGAGCAGAAGGGCGAAGGACAGCAAUUGUAAAGAAUAAAGAAUCAAAGGCAGAAGGAAGGACAGAAAGGACAGGGACAAGGAAAACAAUUUAGGAAUACCUAUAGAUUUCCUCCGUAAAUAAAACUGUUUGCUCAGUUGACUAUCCAACUUUUUAAAACAAUCUGAACUUUGCUUUCUAACUAGCUUGCUCAUCAUAUAAUGUUGUCUCCCGGACACUGGCUCGCAUAGACCUAUAUCUAAGGGAACUAGCAAUAGCUGUAGGGGCUUAUCCUGAUCCUGAGACUGCUACUAUUUCUACUGCUACAAGAGAGAAUGUUUCAAUGGCAAUGGCCAGAGAAGCGGUACUUUGAAAAUCAAAAGGGCAAUUAGUACGGCUGACACGAUAGACUAAGAGACUACUUGCUCUCCCGCUGGGAGACAGGCAGAAGCACAUGAUGAUGCCCUUUUUUUCUUCUUCUUCAACUAGAUAGCUGGCAAUUGCCACUGAAACAGCAUCAAUGGUUGGAAGAAUAAAAGCAAUUGGAUAGUACCUUUUUUGCAAUUUCCUAGUAGGUUACAGGCCUGGAAAUAGACUGCAAAAAAGAGACGACUAAUGUACUCGCUUGCGCAUUUUCUUAACUCAUAUAAUUUCAUAAUUUAACUCAUAUAAUAAUGCUUAAUAACGAGCUUGCUUAUUCGCUUUUGCUCACAAAAGAACUGGCUUGCCAAAAGAAAAAGAAGAUUACUUAUCUCAAGGCCCUAGAAUCUGAGAACCUGAAAGAUAACUUGUUUGCUUUUUUUCCCUUUACCUGUGUGUGUCUGCUCACAACCGAAAUGAAUAGAAAACUCGCUGGAAGUGCCUUAAAGCCCAACUUCCCUUGCUUAUGGGACUGUAACCCACCAGUAGUAUAAGUAUAUACUACUACUACUUUAUAUGUAUAUAUCUUAUUAGUACAUUAAUAACCUAAUAACCAUAUAUUAAUAUAUGAAC
rnacentral:lncRNA from 1 species